rnacentral:rRNA from 1 species
GACGAACGCUGGCGGCGUGCUUAACACAUGCAAGUCGAACGAAGUGGCGAACGGGUGAGUAACGCGUAAUCAACCUGCCCUUCAGAGGGGGACAACAGUUGGAAACGACUGCUAAUACCGCAUACUGACGGAGGGGAGUGCGUCUGAUUAGCUAGUUGGAGGGGUAACGGCCAACCAAGGGGCUGAUCAGUAGCCUGUCUGAGAGGAUGAGCGACCCCCUUUGGACUGAGACCCGUCCCAGACUCCUACCAUGUACAACAUUUCUGAAUCUUUCGCAAUUUACGAAAGUCUGGCGUAGCAACGCCGCGUGAUUGAUGACGUCCUUCGGGUUUUCAAACUCUGUUAAUCGGGACGCGGUACCGGAAUAGAAAGCCACGGCUAACUACGUGCCAGCAGCCGCGGUAAUAC